GAGCAGAGUCACCAGCAGCAGUGGUGCCAGAAGAAACACACAGACACACACCGGCGGCAGACAAAGCCCUGUUUUAGGUUCUGUGCUACUUACCAGGAAUACUGACACGAAGAAACUUUGGAGUCCCUUUAUUAGAGCAGCUUCCACUCCAUUGAGAUAAAUGACAUGGAGAAAGAGCGAUAAACGUUAUGAAGAAGUAUUGACUAGUUACCGCGAGAGCACUGAGGAAAACUGUGGUGUGGUGAAAUCGUGGAAGCCUUCACAGAGCAGGUGGCCCUGCUGUUGCCUCUGGAGAUCUAUCUUGUUUCCACUCUGAGACUAAUCAGGGGUCUGACUAUACAACCAAAAGCCACUGUCCUUCCCUGAGCCUCCUCCCACAGCCCAGCUCCGAGAAGGCCAGCUUUAUCCCCAGUCUGAUAGUCUGGCAGACCAGGAAACUGGAGAGAGAUGGAGAGAUGGAGCGACUCCAUCUCUCAGUAAGCGACUAGAUGUCUGGUGUUAACCGGCUUAGCUCUGAUGACAGUGGGACAAAAUCCAGGCCAGCUCUGGGCCUGU